UGGGCAAAAAGAAAAAAAUUGCUAUGAGGU
rnacentral:piRNA from 1 species